rnacentral:rRNA from 1 species
AGAUUAAGUUAUUAAGGGCGCACGGUGGAUGCCUUGGCACUAGAAGCCGAUGAAGGACGUUACUAACGACGAUAUGCUUUGGGGAGCUGUAAGUAAGCUUUGAUCCAGAGAUUUCCGAAUGGGGAAACCCAGCAUGAGUUAUGUCAUGUUAUCGAUAUGUGAAUACAUAGCAUAUCAGAAGGCACACCCGGAGAACUGAAACAUCUUAGUACCCGGAGGAAGAGAAAGAAAAUUCGAUUCCCUUAGUAGCGGCGAGCGAAACGGGAAGAGCCCAAACCAACAAGCUUGCUUGUUGGGGUUGUAGGACACUCUGUACGGAGUUACAAAGGACGACAUUAGACGAAUCAUCUGGAAAGAUGAAUCAAAGAAGGUAAUAAUCCUGUAGUCGAAAAUGUUGUCUCUCUUGAGUGGAUCCUGAGUACGACGGAGCACGUGAAAUUCCGUCGGAAUCUGGGAGGACCAUCUCCUAAGGCUAAAUACUCUCUAGUGACCGAUAGUGAACCAGUACCGUGAGGGAAAGGUGAAAAGCACCCCGGAAGGGGAGUGAAAUAGAACCUGAAACCGUGUGCUUACAAGUAGUCAGAGCCCGUUAAUGGGUGAUGGCGUGCCUUUUGUAGAAUGAACCGGCGAGUUACGAUUUGAUGCAAGGUUAAGCAGUAAAUGUGGAGCCGUAGCGAAAGCGAGUCUGAAUAGGGCGUUUAGCAUGUGGUCGUAGACCCGAAACCAGGUGAUCUACCCUUGGUCAGGUUGAA